rnacentral:tRNA from 1 species
GUAGUUGUGGCUUAGUGGUGGAGCACUCGCCUAGCACACGUGAGGCACUGGGUUGGAUCCUCAGCACCACA